rnacentral:rRNA from 1 species
UACGUAGGGUCCGAGCGUUGUCCGGAAUUAUUGGGCGUAAAGGGCUUGUAGGCGGUCCGUCGCGUCAGGAGUGAAAACUCGGGGCUUAACCCCGAGCCUGCUUUUGAUACGGGCGGACUAGAGGGAUGCAGGGGAGAACGGAAUUCCUGGUGGAGCGGUGGAAUGCGCAGAUAUCAGGAGGAACACCGGUGGCGAAGGCGGUUCUCUGGGCAUUACCUGACGCUGAGAAGCGAAAGCGUGGGGAGCAAACAGG